AGAAGCAGUCAUCACCAAGAGGCAAGAGAAGCCCAAAAACAAUCCAGAGAAGCAGAUUGCUCACUAGAGCUGCAGGCAGUGCUUUUCUACCAAGAUGCUUUCCUCAAACGCAAGGACCAGGCAGCUAAAUGGCACUUGUGCUAGCUCGGUGGACAUGGAGCUCUUCCUCCAUUACUCCCUCAUCCCAUCACUUUUCAUCAUUUUGGUCUUGUCCCUUCUCCAAAGACGAGAGCACCAUAGACAGAGAGAUGACGCUUCUUACCUCCUGGGUAACCGCUUCAGAAUGAUCAUACCUCUGGACUUCGUGGGCACUUUUCGUAACCGAUGGUCCUAUGGAGUAGCCUUUGGGGCUACAGCCAAUAAGGUCAUGUUCUUAUUCUCAGAAGGCUACCAGCCCCUGCAGGUCCCACAGUGGGCCCAAGCCUUUGUGCUUCUGAUCGGAGGCAUCGAAGUCGGCCUGUCCCACUUCCCCUUCUUUGCUUGCCUCUCGUCGGAGUUCCGGCUGGUCAGCUCCAUCCUGGGGUUCAGCUACUCUCUGAUCUGGUUUGCUGUCACCACCCUUCACAUCACACAGUGUCCCCAUGGGCAGUUUGUGGGGAAGUAUGAGACUGUCGUGUUCUACUGGCCCUCACUGCUCUGCCUGGCCUUCCUUCUGGGCCGCUUCCUGUACAUGUUUGUCAAGUCUCUGAGGGUCCACCUGGGCUGGGAGCUCCAGACGGAAGAAAAGCCUUUCCUGGAAGUUCACCAGGCAGAGCACGUCAAACAGCUCCUGAGGAAGUGCCCCCUGCAAGAGAGAGAAAAGUCUUGGUUCCAAACCAGGAUAUAUGAGUGGGACCCCUACUUUCAGUUCCCAAGCAGGAUGAUUGGAACCACUGUGUUGGCUUUCAUCUGCCUGUACCUUUUCAUUGUCAUUGAGUUCUGCAUGUUCGUGUAUGUGAGAGAUGAGCUGGAUGUGUUUGAAGGCGAAUUGGAGAGCUACAUCGCCUCCAUGAACCAGACGGGUACCCUGACCCCAGUCCUCCUGCAGGUGAAAGAGCUGAUUAACGUCACCAAAGGAGUCUGGGUGGUGACCAUCUUGCCUGCCUCCCUCACGUGUGUGAGCUACCUGUUUCACAUCUUGGCUUGUUACAGAAAGCAAAUGAAGAGGUUGUGGGCAGGAGAUAAACACUUUCUUCCUUUGAAGUUCCAUAAUCCUUCCUCGUCAGAGAGUGUGGUGGCCAUUGCAAGGUACUCUGGCUGGCAGAUAGCUUAUAUUCUGUGGGGCUACCUCAUCAUCCACGUGAUGCAAAGCCUGUGUGGCCUAGUGAUCAUGUACAGCCUGGUGCUACCUGUCAUCCACAAUCAGACCCUGGAAAUGCUCCGAGGACUGGGCAUCGGGAUCCUCACCAUAUCCAUCGUCCUGGGCCUCAUGGUCCUGCAGGUGUGGAUCGCUGCCAGCUUCUUCCUGCAACCAAAGAUGGGAACAGCUGACAAGCAAAAGCCCUUGGCUCUCAACAACAGGAGAGCAUUCCACAACUUCAACUACUUUCUGUUCUUCUGCAACGUGCUGCUGGGCCUGGGCGCCUGCCUCUCCAGGCUUCUCAUCAGCUGCAUCCUGGGCACGUGGCUGGUCGCCCGCAUCGACAGGACCAUUCUGCAGAGUGGCUGUGAGAGAGCAGACAUGGGGUUCAGUGCGUGGAUUGGCAUGCUCUAUGUGGAUCAUUAUCACACCAACCCGGUGCUUGUCAGCUUUUGUCACAUCCUGAUCACAGGCCACAGAGAGAGGAGGCUGCAGCAGGCCAUCAAAUACUGGUACCUAAAUCGGUCAGCAGGUCCCCGCACCUCAGUGAGGUCCAGGACAAGGUGGCUCCUGCUGCAGACCCUGAUCAACAACCCCAGACUGGUCACACUCAGAAAAUCAAGGCCAGGUCAUGGCUCCCGGGACUUACCCAGAUUCUGUUGAUGUGCUCGGAGAGCUGACGUUGACCUCCCACAUUGCGACAAGGCUGUUCUAGGACAUCUGCCCCUGAGAAGGCCCAGGCUACCCAACAGCUGUCCCCUGCAUUGUGAUGGGAUGCACAGGCGCUGUCCACACAGAUGGCAUACAGGCCAGCAAUUCAUGGGAUGGCACUUGGGCUGAACAGUGAAGUCUCAGGUCUAAUUCAUUCCCUUGGUAAAAAGAUCAAGAACUAAAGAGAAUUUCUGUUGAACAAACUUUGCCCAAUAAUGAUUUCCACUAUCCAUGGUUAGGAGGCAGCCUUGGGGAGAUCCAUGUUGAGACACACUUAAUUUAGCCACAGGGCAGAACUUUGUGUCACUGAAAAAGGUGGUAAAAAUUUUUAUAUCAGGAGA